rnacentral:rRNA from 1 species
GAUGAACGCUGGCGGCGUGCCUAAUACAUGCAAGUCGAGCGAACGGACGAGAAGCUUGCUUUUCUGAUGUUAGCGGCCGACGGGUGAGUAACACGUGGUUAACCUACCUAUAAGACUGGGAUAACUUCGGGAAACCGGAGCUAAUACCGGAUAAUAUUUUGAACCGCAUGGUUCAAACGUGAAAGACGGUCUUGCUGUCACUUAUAGAUGGAUCCGCGCUUCAUUAGUUAGUUGGUAAGGUAACGGGUUACCAAGGCAACGAUGCAUAGCCGACCUGAGAGGGUCAAUGCCUAGCCUGUAACUGAGAAUGGUCACAGACUCCGACGGUGGGACGCAGCAGGGAAUCUUACGCGAUGCGCGAGAGCCGGACAGAGCAACGUCGCCGAAGUCAUGAAGGUCUAAGGAUCGUAGAGCGCUGUUAGUAUGGGGGUACAAAUGUGUAUUUAACCGGGCACAUAUUGACGGUACCGAAAGAGAAAGCCACGGCUAACUACGUG